AGAUUGAAGCAUUAAACAAGGAAGGAAAUAUUCAUUAAAAGAAGUCGUUGUCACACAAGGAGAAGAUCAGCAUCACAUCGUCAAAUCAGGAAGUCUCCCAUGAUUCUUGGGAAAUCAGAUACAUCUCCAGAUCUCAUGCAAAUCACUGAAGAUUCCCUAACGGCUAAUUUGAAUGAGCUACAAGAAUGGAAGGCCGCCAUCUCCGUCAAUCGCAUCUCCAGAAAAAAGGAAUGAGAUCGUCAUCAAAGCAACGAUCAGUGCUUUAUUCUUGGAAGGAAUGAACACCCUCCAAGUAUCAAAUCCCUUGGGUUGUCAAGUCUUCGCCAUAGUCUUGCUGUAUAAAUAUCACCGUGCCUUAUACCAUCCUUAUACUUUGAACACACCAAAACAGCCCUCUUCAUUUUACUGCAAAUAAGCAUAGUACUCUAGUUAGAUUCACUGUGUAACAAUCAGAAAUAGAAAGAAAGUUAGUAACUUGUGAGGCAUUGUAUCAACGAGUGAAGAACAACUGACCGACGAAUAUCACUUUUGUACUCGAGAAUAAAAUUAUUGUUCUAAAGAGAAAUCCCUUGCAACCCAAGGGAACUGGAUUAGGAUUCACAUUGAAUCCGAACCAGUAUAAAAAUUCUGGGUGUCUUUACAUUUAUGCAUUUACUUUCAGCAUCUUUAUAUUUAAUCAUUCUCAACUGGUACAGUAUACCAUUGAGUUAACUAAUAACGUUUUAUGUCAACUUAUAUGCGAAUAAUUUUAAAAUAGUGACAAUUCACCCCCCUGCUUUCAAUUGGUAUGAGAGCAAGGCUCAAAUUUUUUUGCUUUUUCUUAACUGCUUGUGAGAAAAAGAUCAAGGCCAAUCAAGUGAUAGUUGGAGCUCUAUUUCAAGAAGGGACUUCUCAAGUAAGACCACCUUACUUCAAUGGACAACAUUUCUCUCACUGGAAGAUCGCAUGGAGAUUUUCACCAAGGCGUACAAUAUAAUCAAGGUUUUGAGAGUCAUCAAGAAAGGGAACUAUCCACUACCUGCCAGUACACCUCCGCUCGCCGACCCCGAUGACAUCGAUUCAUACUUAAAAGAACAACUGGAAGAGGUUCAAACAAACCAUAAGGCAAGAAAUCUACUCCAUAAUGCAAUAAGUGGUGAAGAAUAUGAAAAGAUCUCCAGUUGUGAUACAGCAAAGGAAAUGUGGGACAAACUUGAAGUCACCUAUGAAGGUACCAGCAAAGUAAAGGAAACUCAUAUAAAUAUGCUAGUUCACGACUAUGAACUUUUCUCCAUGAAAGAAGGAGAAAGUCACCUAUGAAGUUACCAGCAAAGUAAAGGAAACCCAUAUAAACAUGCUAGUUCACGACAAUGAAAUGUUCACCAUGAAAGAGGGAGAAUCCAUUGAAGAAAUCUUUGCCAGGUUUAGCAAGAUAAUCAGUGAUUUAAAAGCUUUUGGGAAACCCUAUACCAGUGGAGAUAAAGUCAGGAAGAUUCUCAUAAGUCUACCUACCACAUGGCAGACCAAAGUCAUCACACUAGAAUCUCAAGAUCUGAAUACACUAUCCUAUGAUGAACUACGAGGGGAACUGAUUGCUUUUUAAAGAACUCAUCUGAAAAAGACAAAUCAAGAAGAGAAUCUACUACAAAGGAAACAAAAAAUGAAGUCGAUGAUCCUGAAGCUCUACAAUAAGAAAUUGUUAUACUAUCUAGGAAUAUGGAUGGAUUGAUGAGAAGAUAUAGAAAUACAAAGAAAGGAGGAUUUCCACCAAGAAGGUCCAGACAAUACAAUGAUCAAGACAAGAACGAUGGAAAAUGCUAUGAAUGUGGAAAAGUUGGGCACAUCCAAGCAGAGUGCCCAGAACUGAAAAGAAAAAUCCAUAGAGGAUUCAGCAAGAACAGAUCUUUCGGAAGCUGGAGUGACAAAGAUGAAUCAGACCGUGAGGAAAUUGCUAAUCUGUACUUGAUUCAGCAAGAACAGAUCUUUUGGAAGCUAGAUAGACGAAGAUAAAUCAGACUGUGAGGAAAUUGCUAAUAUGUGCUUCAUGACGAUUCUAUAAAAUGAGAUCAACGAAACUUCAGGGUGAUGGACUGAUGAAGAUGACUCAGAGGAUGAAACGUGCUUCAUGGCCAGAGGAGAAACCACAGAGGUAAGACCUUAUAACUGCGAAAGUUGCAAUGAAUUACAAGACAUCCUUGACUCCACAUUGUCUGAAUCUCUGAAAAUGAUGAAUGGGCUUAAAAGGCUCACAAAGGAAGACAAAGACUGGAAUUUCAAGUAUGAAGUAUGUGAAAUUGAAAAAGAAGUACUUCGGGAAGAGUUUGAGGAAUGCAAAUGCAGCUUAACAGCUUGCGCAAAUCCACCAGUCGACUUACAAGUCAACUGGAAAAGAACCAAUCAGAACUAGAUUGACAAGUCGAUCGAACCAGUCGACUUACAAGUCAACUGGAGAAGAGUCAGCAAACCGUAGAUCUGCUAACUCUACUUCUCAUGAAAGACCAGAAAAGGGACCUAGUGUCAAAUGUCAUUACUGUAAUAAAAGUGGGAACAAAUUCUCUAACUAUCACUUUCGUAAAUCUCAUAUGUCUGGGUGGGUCCAAAUGUCAUUACUGUAAUAAAGUGGGCACAAAUUCUCUAACUGUCACUUUCGUAAUCUCAUAUGUCUGGGUGGGUUUGGAAACCACAAAAUUCCGAAUCCAGCAACACUAACUCUCCAGGACACAAGAAAACUUGGGUACCUAAAAGAAAGUGAUUAUCCCGUUUUGCACGAAGACCACAGAAUAAAAUGCAAAGGAAAGUGGUAUCUAGAAAGUGCGUGUUCCAGUCAUAUGACAGGUGACAAAAAUCUGUUUAAGGAGGUCACAAAGAUUGAUGGAGGAAGUGUCAAGUUUGGAGACGGCUCAAAAGGCAAAAUUGUUGGGACAGGAACUGUUCCAUUCAACAACAACUAUGACAUUACUGAAGUCUACUUAGUAGAUGGAUUAAACUACAACCUUCUCAGUAUAAGCCAACUUUGUGACUCAUGAUAUGAGGUAAAAUUCAAGAAAUUUGGAUGUGCUAUUAAAGACGAAUCAGGUAAAUUAAUCCUUCCAGUAAAAAGGUAUGGAAACGUUUAUAUACUAGAUGGCUUUGAAAAAGUUGAUGGUCAUAUUUGCUUAAUCCUUCCAGGAAAAAGGUAUGGAAACGUUUAUAUACUAGAUGGAUUUGAAAAAGUUGAUGGUCAUAUUUGCUUAUCAUCCAUGUCUGAUGAUCCCUGUUUAUGGCACAGAAGAUUAGGGCACGCUAGCAUGCAUCUAAUCGAAAAAUUAUCUAAGCAUGACCUAGUCGUUGGCCUACCCAAGCUAAAUUUUCUAGAACUUAUAUUUGUGAUACAUGUCAAAUAGGUAACCAAACUAGAAACUCUUUUAAAAAUAAAGACGUUAUUUCUACUUCAAAACCUCUGCAAUUACUUCACAUGGAUUUAUUUGGACCAACUAGAACUGCUAGCUUAUGAGGUAAGAAAUAUGCUUUUGUUAUUGUUGAUGACUUUUCACAAUUCACUUGGGUGAUUUUUCUAACUCAUAAAGAUGAAGCUUGGCGAAAUUUUGAAAUCUUUUGUAAGAAAAUUGAACGAGAGAAGGGCUAUCAAAUCUCUAUAAUUCAAAGUGAUCAUGGAGGAGAAUUUGAAAGCAAGACAUUCGAAGACUUUUGCAAUAGUCAAGGCUAUACUCACAACUUCUCUGCUCCUCGAUCUCCUCAACAAAAUGGAGUAGUUGAAAGAAAGAAUAGAACCUUGUAAGACAUGGCCAGGACUAUGCUCCUGGAACAUUCAUUGCCAAAUCACUUCUGAGCGGAAGGAGUCAGUACCUCCUGCCACAUUCUAAAUCGUUGUCUUAUAAGACCUAUUCUUAAAAAGACUCCAUAUGAGCUCUGGAAAGGUACUAACAUCGGCUAUUUUCAUCCUUUUGGAAGCAAGUGCUUUGUUUAUAACAAUGGUAAGGAUAAUCUUGGAAACUUUGAUCCAAGAAGUGAUGAAGGUAUACUUUGGGUUACUCACUAAAUAGCAUAUCGUUUAGAGUUUUCAAUAAACUCACUUUAUGUGUAGAGGAAUCAGUUCAUGUUGUAUUCGAUAAAAAUAAUCCCUUGGCCGAGAAAGGAUCUAAUGCAAGUGAUGAAGAGCCAGUCCAAGAGGCUCAGGAUAAGAGAAACACUCAGGAGUCAACAAUCCCCACAGAAGCGAUAGAAUCGACUGAUCAGGAAAGUGGUGACACUUCAGAGCCACUUCCAGAGUCGACUACACAAUCCAUUAGACUAAAUGAGUGGAGAAAUGAAGUUGAAUAUCCUCAGAAGUUCAUUAUUGGAGAUCCAAAUGAAAGAAUGAAGGCUAGACCAGGUCUCAAAAAAAAAGGCAAACAUUGCACUAAUCUCCCAAAUAGAACCAAAGAAAGUAGAAGAAACUCUAAAGACUCAAGCUGGAUAACUGCUAUGGAAGAAGAACUAGAACAGUUCAGUAAAAAUCAAGUAUAAGAGUUGGUACCUCGACCUGAAAAUGCUUACGUAAUAGGCACUAAAUGGGUAUUCAGGAACAAGCUGAAUGAAGAAGGACAAGUUAUUAGAAACAAAGCCAGACUAGUAGCUCAAAGAUACUCACAGCAUGAAGGAGUCGGCUAUAAUGAAACAUUUUCUCAAGUUGCUCAACUAGAAUCAGUAGGAAUCCUACUAGCCUAUGCCUCGUUCAAAGGAUUCAGACUAUUUCAAAUGGAUGUCAAAAGUGCAUUUCUAAAUGGAUUCACUGAAGAAGAGGUUUUUUGUGAAACAACGUCCGGGGUUUGAAGAUUCAAAAUACCCUUAUCAUGUGUACAAGCUUACUAAGGCCCUAUAUGGCUUGAAAUAGGCCCCACAUGCAUGGUAUGAAAGGCUAAGUACAUUUCUUAUAGAACAUGGGUUUACCAGAGGUAAAACUGAUACUAUGUUAUUUAUCAAAAGUUCAUCCGAUGGUAACCUUAUCAUUCAAAUUUAUGUUGAUUACAUUAUUUUUGGUAGUGUAACCUUCUUAUGUGCAAGGAAUUUGGAAAUCUAAUGCAAAGCGAAUUUGAGAUGAGUAUGAUGGGGGAACUCACUUUCUUCCUUGGACUUCAAAUCCAUCAAUCCGAAGAAGGAACUUUUAUUUGCCAAUCUAAAUACACGAAGGAGCGGAUUCAAACAUUUGGCAUGAGCAAUGCAAAGUCUAUUGGCACUCCAAUGAGUCCGGCUACAAACUUAGAUAAAGAUGAAUAGGGCACUCCAGUUGAUCAAACCAAAUACAGAGGAAUGAUUGAGUCUCUCCAAUAUCUGACUGCAAGUUGACCGGAUAUUAUGUUCAGCGUGUGCAAAUGUGCCAGGUUCCAGUCGGCUCCUAAGGAGUCGCACCUAACUGCCGUAAAAAGAAUUAUUUGGUAUCUCAUUGGGACAAUGUCUUAUGUCUUAUGGUAUCCUCAAUCUAACUCUUUUAAAUUGGAAGGUUUUUCAGAUGCAGAUUUAGCAUGUGACAAAGAAGAUAGGAAAAGAACUAGUGGAACAUGUCAACUGCUAGGAAAAUCUGUAAUAUCUUGGAAUAGUAAAAAGCACUCUUCAGUCGCAUUGUCAACUACGAAGCUGAAUAUAUUACUAUUGGACAAUGUUGUGCACAACUGCUUUGGAUGUCACAUCAAUUGGGUGACUAUGAUCUCUUUUUCAAACCUAUACAAAUUUUUUGUGAUAAUUAUAGUGCUAUUUGUCUUUCAAAAAAUCAUGUGCAUCAUUCUAGAGCUAAGCAUAUAGAUAUUAAACAUCUUUUUAUUAGAGACCAUGUUCUUAAGGGUGAUAUAGAGUUAAGUUUUGUUGGAACGUCUGGUCAACUAGCUGAUAUUUUCAACAAACCUUUAUUGGAGGAAAGAUUUUGUGCUCUAAGGAAAUUGCUUGGUAUUAUCUGCCGCACUAAUACCUCUUAGGGUCAAAGUUGCACUUUUCAAAAACCUUGUUAUUAUUGUUUUUCUACUCAGAUUAUUUAAUACGCCGUCAUUAUUUCCCUCUCUUUCCUUUCUAAUAUCCCAUCAGUUGCAGAGAAGAUGGAAAGCCAAGCCGUCAUUAUUUCACACUCUUUCCUCUCUAAUAUCCCAUCAGUUGCAGAGAAGAUGGAAAGCCAAUCAAUGUGACUGUCCAUCUGACACCUUUUCCUUUUCCACUCAACCGUCAAAUCCAUUCUCUUUACAUAGUUCCAGUCAUCCCUUUCCUUCUCACCCUUCUCACAAAACCAUUCCUCUCUUUGUUCUGAAACCCUCUUUUCCUCCAUGGCCAAGACUUCAAAAAAUCCCUCCACCUCCACAAGAAAGAGCACUCGUUCAAACCAAACCCUCCUCCACUCCGCCUGAGCAAGUAGACCUAGGGUCAGACAAGUAUGAAGAGUGUGCCUCCUCUCAAGGUGCAUAUUCUCAGCAAUCUCUGCUUCUUGGUGAAAAAGCCACUGGUAAACGACCUAGCCCCUCUCUCCACUCCCAAGAAAACCAAGUUCGAUUUUUUUGCCUCUCUCGAAUCUGACCUAAAUUUUUGGGACACCCCAAAUAGGGAUUUCUUUAUGUCGCUCAAGGACAAGCCUAUUGCCCAUGUUCGUGUGGUGGAUCUCGAUGCUAUGGACUUCUGCAACUGCAAGGUAAAAGAUCUUUUUGUUUAUCAGGGUGGGAAAAAUUUCUCUGUUUCUCCACCUAAAGUGUAUAAACCUCUUGUCUGUAUGUUCUAUGCAAAUCUUCGAUCUAGCAAAUCUGACUGGCUCGAAACCCUUGUUCUUGGCAAACGCAUUUUACAUGACUGUAACCUAUUUGAUUCCCUUUUUCUCUGCCACUGCUCUUGCUUUCCAACAAUUUUUAAGAAUGUGUGGCCUGAAGAUUUUGAAAUCUCCUUUGAUCAGGCUAAACUAAUUAUUGCAGAAAACCCCUCUGAAAAUCUUCCCCAUCAGUUAGGACCAAGUGAUGUUAGCUUUGAAACUCGAGUCCUUGCUCACAUUGUAACAACUACUCUUCUUCUUAGAAUUGGCUCAUUCUCAACUCUCUCCCAAAGGGACACCUUCUUCGUCUACUGUCUUAUUUCCAAACUCAAAAUCAAGCUGUCCUCCUGGGUCAUCAAUUUUAUGAUUGAAAGCGCAAAAGAUCCUACCAGCCUUCCUUAUGGGAUGGCCAUUACCCACAUUCUGGAAGCUCACCAAAUUUCUCUUUCAUACUACCAUUUUAUUCUUGUGUCAAAAUGCUACAUACCAGCUUACCUUAUGGGAUGGUCAUCACCCACAUUCUGGAAGUUCACCAAAUUUCGCUUUCAGACUAUCAUUUUAUUCCUGUGUCAAAAUGCUACAAACCCAGGGCCUUCACUAGCAUGGGAUAUGUGUCUAUUAAAGGGGUCUGGGUCAAAAGGGAGAAUGUGAUGCCAAAACCACUCCUGAGGAAAUCAAGCCAACUCCUGUCUCUCUAUCCGCGCCUAUUCCCUCAGAUCUUGGUGAUAAGCUGCGCUCUGUUGAGUCUCAACUCUCUAACAUCAAGUCGAUUGUGGAUGCUAUUUAUGCUAUCUCCAAGGAAACAGGGUCUGAUGCCUCCAAAAUCAGGGUGGUUGUGCAAAGGGUAAGAGAGAAUGCGGUCAAAGCAUUCAAAGAGGUGCAUGAUAGACUGGAUGGAGUGCAUGUUGCUGCCAACACCAGCUUUGAUCAGAUGAAGUAGGCUAUUUGCAAUACUCUGACUUAUUUUCUGCGUCGUGGUUGAUUGUGGCUUUAAGACAACUUUUUUGUUUGUUUGUUUCUAACACAUUGGUUAUGUUUGGGCUCUGCCCGUGGAUAAUCUUGUGGAUAUUAGUUUUGCCACUGCUCCCUCUUUUGAUGAUGUCAAAAAGGGGGAGAAAUAUAUAAUAUGCUAUCUUGUGCAGGAUGAAUAAGUGUGCAGGGCGUACAUGCUUUGUAUGUUUUUGUAUAUCUGCACAUGUCAAGUCGACUAAGUAUUAUCUAACUAUGCUAUGGCAUAGUACAAACUGAAAAGGCAAGUCGACUACUGAAAAGGCAAGUCGACCAGAGCCUGCACCUAUUUUCCAGACAACUGUUCGAUAUUUCUUUAUAGGUACCAGUCGACUGCACCUAAUGAGGGGGAAAACACAUCGACUGCACGUACACAGGGGGAGAUCAUGUCCAGUUGACUACACAUUGAGGGCGAGCAAUCCUGCCACUCAACUGAAUAUAAAUAGGGAAUUCAACUAUUCUUUAUCCCAGUAUAUUAAUUUUGCCAUAACCAAAAAGGGGGAGAUUGUUAGAAUAGAUUUUAAUAAUGCAAUUAAUAUACAUGUGCAGAUAUUCAAGGAGAAAAGCGGAAUCACUGAAGCAUGGAUAAAAGGCAAGCGAAGAAAGGAUAAAAGACAAGCUGCCAUCUCACUAAAUCAAGGAAGCAAGAUUGAAGCAUUAAACAAGGAAAGAAAUAUUCAUUAAGAGAAGCCGUUGGCACAUAAGGAGAAGAUCGGCAUCACAUCGUCAAAUCAGGAAGUCUCCCAUGAUUCUUGGGAAAUCAUAUACAUCUCCAGACCUCAUGCAAAUCACUGAAGAUUCCCUAAUGGCUUAUUUGAAUGAACUACAAGAUUGGAAGGCCGCCAUCUCCGUCAAUCACAUCUCCAGAAAAAAGGGAAAGAGAUCGUCGGAAUGAGCUACAAGACUGGAAGGCCGCCAUCUCCGUCAAUUGCAUCUCCAGAAAAAAGGAAAGAGAUCGUCAUCAAAGCAACGAUCAGUGCUUUAUUCUUGGAAGGAAUCAACACCCUCCAAGGAUCAAAUCCCCUAGGUUGUCAAGUCUCUGCCAUAGUCUUGCUGUAUAAAUAUCACCGUGCCUUGUACCAUCCUUAUACUUUAAACACACCAAAACAACCCUCUUCAUUUUACUGCAAACAAGCAUAGUAGUCUAGUUAAAUUCACUGUGUAACAAGUCAAAAAUAGAAAGAGAGUUAGUAACUGGUGAGGCAUUGUAUCAACGAGUGAAGAACAACUGAGCGACAAAUAGCACUUCUGUACUCGAGAAGAAAAUUAUUGUUCUGAAGAGAA
rnacentral:lncRNA from 1 species